AAUUUCUUAAGAUAACAGAGCUAUGAGGCAAAAUAAAUGAGCAACUUCUUUUGUAAUAGUAGCUGUUUUCUAAAGAGGGCAGUAGGUUUAUUUUCAGGGUAUAUAAUCAGAUGGUCAUAAUGUACAUUUAAUUUUGUCUAUCAAUUUAUUUCUAUUCCAAGUCUCAUUUGGUCUACUUAUAUAGUGUUUUAUGCCAUCAUUACCCAUUAAAUACAGUGAUUUCAGUGUUUUCAUGGUCAUUUCAGGUUUACGUUGAGUCUCUUCAGAGUUUCUUCUCUCCCACCCUCGCCCCAGAGGCACGUAUGUUACUAAUGCCACGUGACAAUACUGCCCGGGAGCGGAUACCUGGAACAUACAUGGUGAUCUCUCUUCACCACUGCCACACUCGGAGAUGGAAGCGUCCCUGCUUUGUCCGGAUCUUUCGCAUCCCUCGCUCUCGUGUCUAAGGAGUCUCAUGAAAAUGUGACUUACAUAGGAAGCCCAUUUCUGGAGAGCUAAGCCCUGCAGUGUGGGGGUGGAAAUCCAGCAGGCUGCAGGCUCUGCUCACGGCCUGGCUCUACCGAGAAUCCAUCCUGCACACCCAGCGGAGGCGGCCAGCUCCACACGUCCACACAAACCAUCCACUGUGUCGGGGACUCUGCAAGGCAAUGCAAUAUGGGUCGCCUCUGGGGUUGAAGGUUGCCUCAAGAGGAAACUGAAGCCCUCACUUCUACAACUGCAAGAAACUGCAUUCUGCCCAAAACCUGAGACAGCCGGGAAGCAGAGCCCUCCGCAGUCAAGUCUAAGAUGAGGCUGCAUCCCCAGGGGACGCCUUGCCUGCAGCCUGGGAGACCCUGACCAGCUGACCCAGCUAAGCUGUGCCCAGACCUGUAACUAAAUUUGUGGUAACAUUGCUAUGCACCAUCAGAAAA
rnacentral:lncRNA from 1 species